UGCAGUCGAGCGAACAGAUAAGGAGCUUGCUCCUUUGACGUUAGCGGCGGACGGGUGAGUAACACGUGGGUAACCUACCUAUAAGACUGGAAUAACUCCGGGAAACCGGGGCUAAUGCCGGAUAAUAUUUAGAACCGCAUGGUUCUAAAGUGAAAGAUGGUUUUACUAUCACUUAUAGAUGGACCCGCGCCGUAUUAGCUAGUUGGUGGGGUAAUGGCUUACCAAGGCAACGAUACGUAGCCGACCUGAGAGGGUGAUCGGCCACACUGGAACUGAGACACGGUCCAGACUCCUACGGGAGGCAGCAGUAGGGAAUCUUCCGCAAUGGGCGAAAGCCUGACGGAGCAACGCCGCGUGAGUGAUGAAGGUCUUCGGAUCGUAAAACUCUGUUAUUAGGGAAGAACAAAUGUGUAAGUAACUGUGCACGUCUUGACGGUACCUAAUCAGAAAGCCACGGCUAACUACGUGCCAGCAGCCGCGGUAAUACGUAGGUGGCAAGCGUUAUCCGGAAUUAUUGGGCGUAAAGCGCGCGUAGGCGGUUUCUUAAGUCUGAUGUGAAAGCCCACGGCUCAACCGUGGAGGGUCAUUGGAAACUGGGAAACUUGAGUGCAGAAGAGGAAAGUGGAAUUCCAUGUGUAGCGGUGAAAUGCGCAGAGAUAUGGAGGAACACCAGUGGCGAAGGCGACUUUCUGGUCUGUAACUGACGCUGAUGUGCGAAAGCGUGGGGAUCAAACAGGAUUAGAUACCCUGGUAGUCCACGCCGUAAACGAUGAGUGCUAAGUGUUAGGGGGUUUCCGCCCCUUAGUGCUGCAGCUAACGCAUUAAGCACUCCGCCUGGGGAGUACGACCGCAAGGUUGAAACUCAAAGGAAUUGACGGGGACCGCACAAGCGGUGGAGCAUGUGGUUUAAUUCGAAGCAACGCGAAGAACCUUACCAAAUCUUGACAUCCUUUGACAACUCUAGAGAUAGAGUCUUCCCCUUCGGGGGACAAAGUGACAGGUGGUGCAUGGUUGUCGUCAGCUCGUGUCGUGAGAUGUUGGGUUAAGUCCCGCAACGAGCGCAACCCUUAAGCUUAGUUGCCAGCAUUAAGUUGGGCACUCUAAGUUGACUGCCGGUGACAAACCGGAGGAAGGUGGGGAUGACGUCAAAUCAUCAUGCCCCUUAUGAUUUGGGCUACACACGUGCUACAAUGGACAAUACAAAGGGCAGCUAAACCGCGAGGUCAUGCAAAUCCCAUAAAGUUGUUCUCAGUUCGGAUUGUAGUCUGCAACUCGACUACAUGAAGCUGGAAUCGCUAGUAAUCGUAGAUCAGCAUGCUACGGUGAAUACGUUCCCGGGUCUUGUACACACCGCCCGUCACACCACGAGAGUCUGUAACACCCGAAGCC
rnacentral:rRNA from 1 species